CCAUUGAUUUGCACAAGAACCAUCGGGGUUUAGGUCGUCUUUCUCUAUCAUGACUGCCUUGUUUAAGAACCUAAAAGUGAUGAAAUUAUGGGUAAACAAAUAUAGCAGAUAAUCAUCAAAGCCACACAAUAUUUCCAUUAAUCAUAAAUAAUUAAACCAUUUGAUAAUAAUCCAAUAAUCAAGCAAUUGUCUCAUAAUACACGAAAAUAAUUUAGUACAUUUGACAAUAACUUUUAGAACAAUAAUGUAGAUUAAUUAUGCAGUCCAUAAUAAAAUUAGGUUAAUUUAGAGUAAAUAUCAGAAUUCGACUCUCAUUAAUAUGAUCUCAGCACUUAAAUAAUAAUAAUAAUAAUUAAUAAUUGGAACGGAAAAUUAAUAAUGAUGAGACAAGUUGUGUUUUUAGACACAACCCAAGUCAUGGUGAGUCAUCUUUUCAACUCAAAUCUGCUUUGAUUAGUAACAAAAUUGUCACUUUCAUAUUUAAUGCAAAUAACAACAAGAUGGGCACAUAUUAAAUAUUUGCAUAAACUUUAGAUAUAAUUAAAUGUAUUAUCAAAGUAGGCCUAAAUCCUAUUUAAUUGUUAUUAUUAAUGGGAAACCAUGUAUAUUUGUCCUGCAUGAAAAAUCUAUAAAAUAAAAUAAUAAUAUACAAAUAUUUAAUUUACAACAUUAAAAAUUUAAUCACUUAUAUAAAUUAAAAUUAAAAAUAAAUUAAACUAUAAUUUAACUAACACUCUAUUCAAAUUGAACACCACCUAAAUAUUGAAUAAUCACAAUUCCAUAUAUUAGUCCUUACCAUAAUACAAUCUUGAUCAAAUAGUCUCCCACUCCGACCUCCUUGCAUUGGAUAUCGCAAAGACAUAACGUUCCAUCCCCUAAUUGCCUAGCUUUGACCCUUAAUUUUUUGUUUUUAGAGGUUCUUGCAAGCGACAUUAAAAAAACAAAAAGAGAUCCAUUCAUUCAUUCAUCAACAAGUGAGAACAACGGGUGCAAUGCAUACAAAAAUAUAGUAUUAAAUGAUUCAUCAUUACAUAAAAUUAGUAAAUACAUUAAUAUCCAAAUAUUAUUGUGCCACAACACAUUAAAACUAUUUUUGCAACCUAAGAAAUAAUCAUGCCAUUACAUAAAAAUAUAAAGUAGAUGAUUCAUAAACUCAUCCUUUUUAAGUAGUUUGUGAAAAUCUAUAGAAUGAAAACAAGGAUUUUUUUUUAAUAGAAAAACAAUUUUCCUCAACUUUUUUUUUUCAUAUAUGUAAACAAAUGAAGCCUUCAAUUACGCAAAUCAUACAUCUAAUUUUACUAAUGACUCUCCCCUCAAAAAACUUUUUUAAUAAUGACUCAAAUUAUAAUUUGAAAGGACUUCAUAAAGUUAGCAUUUUUGUUUUAGCAACACCAAUUAUUGGUUGAAAUGUUGUCCAAGUUCAUUCCCAUAUUGUAUUACACUACUACUUAGGAACGUCUGGAGUUGAGAUUGAGAGUUUCAAAAUACGUUUUUCAGAAAUUAACUUCCCCAGAUGGAAAUCAUAUUACCUACUCACACAUUCUCAGUACACACGGUUGCUGAUAGUUUGAUAAAGUGAUCUAAGUUGUGUGUCCCAUUUCUCGAUGGCAGUAUACUUCUUCAUUCCCUUUGACCUGCAUGGCAUUUUACAAUGAUGAUGAUAAUGAUGGCUGCAGCCAGCCAUAGUGAUAAACUUUGCACAUGAACAUCACAUCAGCUCCCAACUAAUCAGAGAACUGGAACAGAUAAUUAAAUUAAGAAAUUACCUGUCUGCGCGCUCUAAUAGCCUGUUCACUUGAUCAAUAUGUCCAUCAAUACGAUUAUCCAAUAUUAGUGAAACCAACAGUUGCUCAACAUCUUUUUCCAGUACAUUGAGUUCCUUGGAUAUGAAUGGAAUCCGAAUUCCUGUAUAAGGUUUAAUAAGCUUAAGCAGCACUUGAGUUCUGACAUUCUUCAAUAGAUCUUCAAUAUAAUUCCGUAUGAAUGGAUCAUCCAUUAUUGUCCUUCUUGAGGAUAUUCUCAAAUUCCAAUAUUUCAUUCCGUUGAUGUGCUGCUAUGAGGUUUGUCAUCGCCAAAAUCUCAGGAUCAUUUUUAUAUGGCUUUGCCUCUUGACCAUCAAAUGGAUUCACUUCAGAUUCCAUCAGCAUAUUAGCCAGUACCAGGUAUCUGUCAACCAUGAUGAUUAUAGGUGAUCCUAUAACAGUGUAUAUUGGAAGUUCUCACCAAGGUAGAAACCAUAUUGGUGAUGUACCAUGAAUUCAGUGCAAAAGCAAGAUAGACCACCUUGAAUAGCAACAAAAUCUGUAACUGAUCAUGUACCUUCUCUGUGAAGCAUAUAAAAUUAAUUUUCUUCAAUCUAAUGACCAAUUGCUUCAUUGUAAUGACCAAGUGUUGUGAAUUAGCAAGUACACAAGAAGAUACAAACUUGGAUGAAUGAGGCAAAAUUCUGCCAAUUUGUAACUGGGGUACUUAAUCAACCUUGCAUAUUUUUCAUAUAGGCCCCCAAAAUGCAGCCGUGCGGAGGGCGAGAUGGGGCAGAAGAAUAAUUUGUGUGCACAUGUAGCUAUAUUUCAGUAAUAUGAAAAUGAGAAAUGAUUCUCUCCAGGUUUCUCUUAACACUUGCUAUAUUACUCUGUUGGAACAAUGAGUCAUGUUAAAUUUUUUUACUUUCAAAGUUCGGAUUUUAUUUUUCUAGUAGUUCUAGUACUUGAAAAGUUGCCAUUAUCACUAGCGUUUUUCACGUAACACAUAAAAGAUAAGAAGAGAUAGCAAACACACUUAAGCAUUGUAUGCGUCUUUGGUUCCCAGCUUCAUCGUAAUUCUUAAAAGCUUCAAAGAAAUCUGUC
rnacentral:misc_RNA from 1 species